UUAUACAGUUAAAAUAAGCACAAAGAGUAAGUAAAUACAUUUUAUUGGGUAAACAUGAGCUACAAUAAGCCAAUUUUCACACAACUUUAUCAGUAAUAAAGAAUUUAAACCAAUUGCCAGAAGCCCAGAAUGUCCUAAAUAAUCAUCUUUUAAAUACUUUUACAAUGCAAUACUCCAAAAGUUGGCCUCUGUGAA